UCUUAGAUACCUACCUCCUCACAUGUUUCUUUUUCAGACCAGUGAGCUCAUCUUUCUAUUGAACAUGUUAACCACAUAAAUUUAGUCUGGAAGACCAAAGCCCGUUGUAUCAUGGGAUUGCUCAGAUUCUUCUCUUUGCUUCUGCUUCUCAGCUGGACAGCAGUGGGGACAGGGCAUGGCCAUCUGCUUUUGUGACUCCAGCCGCUGGUGCACUGGCUUUUCUAUACCGGGAAAAGCAUCAGCUGAGAGACGGCAGCUUCCCUCUUCUGUGAUGUGCACCCCUUGCCUGUCCCCUUUGGCGG
rnacentral:lncRNA from 1 species